AACGCGAAGAACCUUACCUACCCUUGACAUCCUAAGAAUCUGAUAGAGAUAUUGGAGUGCCGAAAGGAACUUAGAGACAGGUGCUGCAUGGCUGUCGUCAGCUCGUGUUGUGAGAUGUUGGGUUAAGUCCCGUAACGAGCGCAACCCUUAUCCUUAGUUGCCAACACGUCAUGGUGGGGACUCUAAGGAGACUGCUGGUGAUGAACCGGAGGAAGGCGGGGACGACGUCAAGUCAUCAUGGCCUUUAUGGGUAGGGCUACACACGUGCUACAAUGGGGCGUACAGAGGGUUGCCAACCUGCGAAGGGGAGCCAAUCCCAGAAAGCGCCUCGUAGUCCGGAUCGGAGUCUGCAACUCGACUCCGUGAAGUCGGAAUCGCUAGUAAUCGCGAAUCAGAACGUCGCGGUGAAUACGUUCCCGGGCCUUGUACACACCGAGACGUA
rnacentral:rRNA from 1 species